AACCUUUGACAUGUCCCGUAUGAGCACCAGAGAUGGAGCUCUUCAGUUCGGCUGGCGGGAACACAGGUGCUGCAUGGCUGUCGUCAGCUCGUGUCGUGAGAUGUUGGGUUAAGUCCCGCAACGAGCGCAACCCUCGCCCUUAGUUGCCAUCAUUUAGUUGGGCACUCUAAGGGGACUGCCGGUGAUAAGCCGCGAGGAAGGUGGGGAUGACGUCAAGUCCUCAUGGCCCUUACAGGUUGGGCUACACACGUGCUACAAUGGCGGUGACAAUGGGACGCAAUGGAGUAAUCCUGCGCAAAUCUCAAAAAGCCGUCUCAGUUCGGAUUGUGCUCUGCAACUCGAGCACAUGAAGUUGGAAUCGCUAGUAAUCGCAGAUCAGCACGCUGCGGUGAAUACGUUCCCGGGCC
rnacentral:rRNA from 1 species